rnacentral:rRNA from 1 species
AACGAACGCUGGCGGCGUGGAUAAGACAUGCAAGUCGAACGCUUGAUUUCCCGUAGCAAUAUGGGAGGUCAGGAGUGGCGCAAGGGUGCGUAACACGUGGAUCAUCUGCCUGGAAGUUCG